rnacentral:siRNA from 1 species
UGGCUGUCCUUCUAACACGGC